GCCAAGUGUUGACGGUUGACGGUAUUCACCUAUGGUCUCAUCUACUCAGGAGGUUGAGGUGGGAGGAUCCCUUGAGCCCAGGAGUUCUGGGCUGCAGUGAGCUAUGCCCACCAGGUGUCUAAGUUUGGCAUCAAUAUGGUGACUUUUCAGGAGUGAGGGACCAGCAAGAUGCCUAAGUAGGGGUGAACCAGUCCGUGUUAGAAACCAAGCCAGUCAAAACCCCCAGGCAGAUCAGCAAUGGUGUUAUGCCUGUUGAGUAGCCACUGACUUCAACCUGGACAUCAUAGUAAGACCUUGUUUCUU
rnacentral:SRP_RNA from 1 species